GCCUUGGUGGUGAAACGGUAGACACGCGAGACUCAAAAUCUCGUGCUAAAGAGCCUGGAGGUUCGAGUCCUCUUCAAGGCA
rnacentral:tRNA from 1 species